GGCAACAUUGGAAUCAUGAGCCAGCUGGAUGACCUCCUUACCCAGCUGGGAACGGGCAGGUGGAGCCUGUUGCACAUCGUGGUCUUCUCCUACUGGUUCUCGCUGCUCUCCUACCACACCCUCGGUGGCGCAUUCCUGGCGCCCAAAAUCGACUUCACUUGCCGCCCGCCCUCCAACGCCACGCACGCCCGCGCCCAGGAGGACUCCUGCGCUUACUUGGAGGAGGAGCCAAGCACAGGCAGAGUGGAGGAGCGGCCGUGCACCGAGUGGGACUUCGACAGCUCCACCUUCAGCUCCACCGUCACCUCAGAGUUCAACCUCGUGUGUGAGAGGGAGUACCUACGGGCGACCUAUCAGAGCAUCUACAUGUUCGGCAUCUUCGUGGGCGCUCCUCUCAAUGGCGUGAUGGCAGACAGAUUCGGAAGGUUCCCCAUGGUGGCAGGAAGCUCAAUCAUUUACACAAUCAUCGCCAUCGGUUCCUGCUGGAUCUACUCGCUCCCGCUCCUGCUAGCUGCUAGGUUCCUGCUAGGCGCGAUGCAUCCGACUUCCCUCCAGACGGGUUACAUUCUAGUGCUGGAGAUGUCAGAACCCAAGUGGCGGUCUGCCCUGGGCGUGGGCCUGUUCCUCCCGUGGGCGUUGGGCACGGUGGCCUGGGGCGGCUUCGCAUACCUGGUGAGGGACUGGCGUUGGCUGCAGCUCACCGUGUCCCUGCCGUGUCUGCUCUUCCUGCCCGCGCUCUUCUUCAUAGACGGAGUCUCCGCGCUGGCUGGCGGUGGAGGGGCGGCAAGGGAGAGCUCUCAGCAUCCUCAAGAGAGCGGCCAAGAUGAACCGGGUGGAACUCCAGUCUGACGAGAAGAUUCUCAGCAUCCUCGGGGACGAUCAGAAGAAGGAUGUCCAGGAAAAACCUACUUAUGACAACUGUAGAGACAGAGUCAAAGCAUGUUUUGAGAAAGCUGUUAUUCUCUUCAGAACGCCCCGCCUCCGCGUCAUCACCAUCGUCAUGUACAUCGACUACCUGGUGACGGGGCUGG
rnacentral:misc_RNA from 1 species